GGGUGAGAACUACAACAAAGUUCCCAGUGGGUUCGGCCUCAACAUCACCGACUUUCCCACUAGGACUAACUCAGGCAUAAUAGAAAGGAUAAGCAGGAUAUAGUAACCAAUCUAUAACAUGAUGCUAAUAUGCCUGAACAAAUAGCAAGAAGUAUGCUCAACAUUAAAUAUAUGCAAAUUAUGCAAACUCAUUAGUUCUUUGACUUUACUUUGUACUUUGUUCUUUAUUCUUUGCUCUUUGUUCUUUGUUCUUUAAUCUCAAGGCUAACCCGGAGGUUUCGCCACAUCAACUUGCUUCACAUUAAGUCCAUCAUCGCAGGAACUCACCAGCUAGGACCGUCCUUACGGGUCUACUCCAACCCGGAUGCAUAACUCCGGAGCGCAUCGCCCGAGGGGGAGCGACCGCCCUCGAGCACGGAACUCAUAGCAAGUAUGAUCAUAUCCUUAACUCAAAGGAUUAUAAGUUCAAUCUUGACUUUACACUAGCUCUAGUGUUCUUUACAUCACUUUAUGUUGCAAAUUCAUGCAAUCACAUUCUUUACAUUUUUAUUACUCUUGCUAACUCUAGCAUUCUUGUUCUCAUUGCCCACUUUGCUUUAACUUUACACUUGGUCACUUUCAUCAUUCUUUACAUCACUUUAGUUCUUUACAUCACACUAACUCUAGUGUCAUUUCACAUUCACUUCAUCGAAUGCCACUCGAUCUAUGUUAUAGUGUCACUCUAUUCUUUUGCUCACUUUGGGUACUCACAUUUUCUCUCAUGCAUACAUCUAGGGUUUUGACAUUAUUAGGUUCUCAACCAUCACCUUUGGCACGUUGAACUCACAAUCAUGCAAUCAUCACAUUUCGUCGUUACUUUACCCUAAAAUGCAUGCAACAAUAUAUAUAACAUAUGCUCAAAGAAUGACACAUUAGGCAUAGAGAGAAUUUCAAUGAGUUUGGAAAGCACCACCCACCUCGUAGGCUUUCAAAGGUGCUCCGACGAUUUUCUUGGGAUUUUUAGACGUCUCUUUCUUUACCUGCGGCAAAACGAACCCUUAUUAGGCCAUUUUGCUCAUAACUUUACUUUGACUUUUCGUAACGUUAAUCCGAGCGCACCAACGCGUCGGAAAUACCCCCAAUUAGGUUUUUAGAGGGUCAAUUGCACUUAGAAACUCUCAUGAGCAAAAGCCCCAAUUUGGGUGCCCUAGCUCCAAUGUAUAUCAAAACCUAGGGUUUGAUCUCAUUGGGAAGCAAAAGUAGCUUCAUUAUACUCUAAUUAGUCCAUUAGAACCAUUCUUAACCUUUCCAAAUCCCUAGUUUGGAUUUCACCAUUAGAGGUGGUCCAAGCUCACCUAUAUAUCAAAACUAGGUUUUGAUCUCUUUAGAAGCAAAAGAAAGCUUCAAAACUACUACACAUUCCAUUAAAAACCAUCCUUAGGUUCAUUCAAACCCAUUUCUAGGGUUUUACUACAUUAGGGUUUGAAGCUUACCUUAUAAGCUUCCUUUUCUUGCACUAGAGAGGAGGAAGAUGAAGCCUCUUUGCUCCAAAAGCUUCUUCUUCACCUUCUUCUCCUUCUUUUCCUUCCUUUCNCAGUGGGUUCGGCCCCAACAUCACCGACUUUCCCACUAGGACUAACUCAGGCAUAAUAGAAAGGAUAAGUAAGAUAUAGUAACCAAUCUAUAACAUGAUGCUAAUAUGCCUGAACAAAUAGCAAUAGAUAUGCUCAACAUUAAAUAAAUGCAGGUUAUGCAUGUUCUUUAGUUCUUUUCACUUUACUCUUGUUCUUUGUUCUUUACACUUUGUUCUUUGCUCUUUGCUCUUUAAUCAUUAAGGCUAGCCCGGAGGUUUCGCCACUUUAACUUGCUUCACAUUAAGUCCAUCAUCGCAGGAACUCACCAGCUAGGACCGUCCUUACGGGUUUACUCCAACCCGGAUGCAUAACUCCGGAGCGCAUCGCCCGAGGGGGAGCGACCGCCCUCGAGCACGGAACUCAUAGCAAGUAUGAUCAUAUCCUUAACUCAAAGGAUUUAUAAGUUCAAUCUUGACUUUACACUAGCUCUAGUGUUCUUUACAUCACUUUAUGUUGCAAACUCAUGCAAUCACAUUCUUUACAUUU
rnacentral:lncRNA from 1 species